UCCAGACUCCUACGGGAGGCAGCAGUGGGGAAUAUUGCACAAUGGGGGAAACCCUGAUGCAGCGACGCCGCGUGAGUGAAGAAGUAUUUCGGUAUGUAAAGCUCUAUCAGCAGGGAAGAUAAUGACGGUACCUGACUAAGAAGCCCCGGCUAACUACGUGCCAGCAGCCGCGGUAAUACGUAGGGGGCAAGCGUUAUCCGGAUUUACUGGGUGUAAAGGGUGCGCAGGUGGCAGGGCAAGUCAGAUGUGAAAGCCCGGGGCUCAACCCCGGUAUUGCAUUUGAAACUGUCCGGCUAGAGUGCAGGAGAGGUAAGCGGAAUUCCUAGUGUAGCGGUGAAAUGCGUAGAUAUUAGGAGGAACACCAGUGGCGAAGGCGGCUUACUGGACUGUAACUGACACUGAGGCACGAAAGCGUGGGGAGCAAACAGGAUUAGAUACCCGAGUA
rnacentral:rRNA from 1 species